rnacentral:rRNA from 1 species
GACGAACGCUGGCGGCGUGCUCAACACAUGCAAGUCGAACGGAAAGGCCCUGCUUUUGUGGGGUGCUCGAGUGGCGAACGGGUGAGUAACACGUGAGUAACCUGCCCUUGACUUUGGGAUAACUUCAGGAAACUGGGGCUAAUACCGGAUAGGAGCUCCUGCUGCAUGGUGGGGGUUGGAAAGUUUCGGCGGUUGGGGAUGGACUCGCGGCUUAUCCGCUUGUUGGUGGGGUAGUGGCUUACCAAGGCUUUGACGGGUAGCCGGCCUGAGAGUGUGACCGGCCACAUUGGGACUGAGAUACGGCCCAGACUCCUACGGGAGGCAGCAGUGGGGAAUAUUGCACAAUGGGCGGAAGCCUGAUGCAGCAACGCCGCGUGCGGGAUGACGGCCUUCGGGUUGUAAACCGCUUUCGCCUGUGACGAAGCGUGAGUGACGGUAAUGGGUAAAGAAGCACCGGCUAACUACGUG